GGCAUUUUUGACAAAAAAAGAAAAUAGAAAUUCUGGUUAUUCUCUCUCAAACCUGAACCUCUCUUUCUCUCUCUUACUCUCUUGUUUUUCAACUUGAUUUGGUGAGAAAUUGAUGAGAAACUAGUUUGAUUGUUGGGGAAAAAUUUGUGUUAAGGCUUGGAGUUAGCUUGUGCAAGGAAUUGAGGAUUACCGGCACCUGAUCAGGAGCACCCAGGGGUUUGGAAUCUCUGUUAUUGUGGGACAACAGGAAAGGGUAAGGCAUUAGCUGAUGAGCCAUGAGUUCUGGAGCUGGGCGAAGAAUGUACAUGUUCGGGCCAUUUCAGACCAAGCGGGUUAUGGGUCUAUCAGUGUUGAAAUUUUGAAUUCUGUUUUGCCACUUAGGUCGGCUAGAAAGAAAAGACUUGUAAUAAGUUUGUAAUUAUUUUUGGGAUCCCUACUAGUUUGAAAGUUUAAAUAUAUUACAAGUUUAUUUUCA